CUGCCUCUUGGAAAUUCGAGCCUGCAGAGAAGCUCUGAAAGCUAAAAUAAAACCAGGACCUAGGCCUGAAAAGCUGAAGAUUGCAAAAAGUGUGGCUGUAUAGGCGCUGACCUCCCCCCAUGUAACGCAGCAGAUGGUUUCGGCCGACCAACCGCCGGCCCAGGUCUCGGUCGGAGCUCGCGCACUUUCAAAGAGCGCGAGAGUAGCGCAGAGUCUCGGCCGGCAAGAGCGGAGCGGGGCGGGGCGUGGAGGGGGCGGGGCUCGGGAUCCCGGGCCCAGUCCACUUGCGAGACACGGUAAAGCCUGGAUCUCUUUUCUGAAAGGCGGACCUGUGCGUCCUCUCCUCCCUCCGCCAGCCCACCUCCAAACCUGGAAACAAUAACUUUGUUCUAAAUAAUAGCAGUAAUAGCGCUACUUUGUACCAGAGAUGGAGUUUCGCCAUGUUUCCCAGCCUGAUCCAGAACUCAUGAUCUGUCCUCCUCAACCUCCCAAAGUGCUGGAAUUACAAGCAUGAGCCACAGCACCCGGCCCACAAGCACUUUUGAAAGGGCCGUCUGUCUUGCCUGUGUUCAGCCCACGGUGUUCCC